rnacentral:rRNA from 1 species
UACGGAGGGUGCAAGCGUUGUUCGGAAUUAUUGGGCGUAAAGCGCGUGUAGGCGGUUUGUUAAGUCUGGUGUGAAAGCCCUGGGCUCAACCUGGGAAGUGCAUUGGAUACUGGCAAACUUGAGUACGGGAGAGGAUAGUGGAAUUUCGAGUGUAGGGGUGAAAUCCGUAGAUAUUCGAAGGAACACCGGUGGCGAAGGCGGCUAUCUGGACCGAUACUGACGCUGAGGCGCGAAAGCGUGGGGAGCAAACAGG